rnacentral:rRNA from 1 species
GACGAACGCUGGCGGCGUGCUUAACACAUGCAAGUCGAACGGAAAGGCCCUGCUUUUGUGGGGUGCUCGAGUGGCGAACGGGUGAGUAACACGUGAGUAACCUGCCCUUGACUUUGGGAUAACUUCAGGAAACUGGGGCUAAUACCGGAUAGGAGCUCCUGCUGCAUGGUGGGGGUUGGAAAGUUUCGGCGGUUGGGGAUGGACUCGCGGCUUAUCAGCUUGUUGGUGGGGUAGUGGCUUACCAAGGCUUUGACGGGUAGCCGGCCUGAGAGGGUGACCGGCGACAUUGGGACUGAGAUACGGCCCAGACUCCUACGGGAGGCAGCAGUGGGGAAUAUUGCACAAUGGGCGGAAGCCUGAUGCAGCAACGCCGCGCGCGGGAUGACGGCCUUCGGGUUGUAAACCGCUUUCGCCUGUAACGAAGCGUGAGUGACGGUAAUGGGUAAAGAAGCACCGGCUAACUACGUG